CAGCAGCCGCGGUAAUUCCAGCUCCAAUAGCGUAUAUUAAUGUUGUUGCAGUUAAAAAGCUCGUAGUUGAAUUUCUGGAGUUGAUUUAUGGUCCGAGUGUCUUAUUCAUUUAAGCCUUGUGUACUGUUUUUACUCAAUCUCCAUCUUAGUAGUAAGUGUAACUGGCAUUCAGUUGUCGGAUGCAGGAGCUGCUUCGUUUACUGUGAAUAAAAUAGAGUGUUUAAAGCAGGCAUUACGCCUUGAAUACUUCAGCAUGGAAUAAAAUUAUAGGACUUAGGUGCUAUUUUAUUGGUUUGCACACCUAGUAAUGAUUAAUAGGGACAGUUGGGGGUAUUCAUAUUUGAUUGUCAGAGGUGAAAUUCUUGGAUUUAUGAAAGAUGAACUUAUGCGAAAGCAUUUACCAAGGAUGUUUUCAUUAAUCAAGAACGAAAGUUAGGGGAUCGAAGAGGAUUAGAUACCCUCGUAGUCUUAACCAUAAACUAUGCCGACUCGGGAUCAGUGGGGUUUGUUUAACGUCUCCAUUGGCACCGUAUGAGAAAUCAAAGUCUUUGGGUUCCGGGGGGAGUAUGGUCGCAAGGCUGAAACUUAAAGGAAUUGACGGAAGGGCACCACCAGGAGUGGAGCCUGCGGCUUAAUUUGACUCAACACGGGGAAACUUACCAGGUCCGGACAUAGUAAGGAUUGACAGAUUGACAGCUCUUUCUUGAUUCUAUGGGUGGUGGUGCAUGGGCCGUUCUUAGUUGGUGGAGUGAUAUGUCUGGUUAAUUCCGUUAACGAACGAGACCUCCGCCUACUAAAUAGUGACUGUUUUGCUAGUCAAAGCAGGUUUUAUCUUCUUAGAGGGACACUCGGUUUUUAGCCGAGGGAAGUUGGAGGCAAUAACAGGUCUG
rnacentral:rRNA from 1 species